rnacentral:rRNA from 1 species
UACGUAGGGGGCAAGCGUUGUCCGGAAUCAUUGGGCGUAAAGCGCGUGUAGGCGGCUUGGUAAGUCUGCUCUGAAAGCCCGGGGCUCAACCCCGGGAGGCGGGUGGAUACUGUCAAGCUCGAGUCCGGAAGAGGAGUGUGGAAUUCCUGGUGUAGCGGUGGAAUGCGCAGAUAUCAGGAGGAACACCGGUGGCGAAGGCGGUUCUCUGGGCAUUACCUGACGCUGAGGAGCGAAAGCAUGGGGAGCGAACAGG